UACGUAGGGGGCAAGCGUUGUCCGGAUUUAUUGGGCGUAAAGAGCGUGUAGGCGGCCAGGUAGGUGGGUUGUGAAAACUGGAGGCUCAACCUUCAGACGUCGACCCAAACCCCCUGGCUAGAGUCCGGAAGAGGAGAGUGGAAUUCCUGGUGUAGCGGUGAAAUGCGCAGAUAUCAGGAAGAACACCCGUGGCUAAGGCGGUUCUCUAGUACGGUACUGACGCUGAGACGCGAAAGCGUGGGGAGCGAACAGG
rnacentral:rRNA from 1 species